GCUAAACGCGAAGAACCUUACCAGGCCUUGACAUGCAGAGAACUUUCCAGAGAUGGGAUUGGUGCCUUCGGGAACGUCUGACACAGGUGCUGCAUGGCUGUCGUCAGCUCGUGUCGUGAGAUGUUGGGUUAAGUCCCGUAACGAGCGCAACCCGUUGUCCUUAGUUACCAGCACGUCAUGGUGGGCACUCUAAGGAGACUGCCGGUGACAAACCGGAGGAAGGUGGGGAUGGACGUCAAGUCAUCAUGGCCCUUACGGCCUGGGCUACACACGUGCUACAAUGGUCGGUACAGAGGGUUGCCAAGCCGCGAGGUGGAGCUAAUCUCACAAAACCGAUCGUAGUCCGGAUCGCAGUCUGCAACUCGACUGCGUGAAGUCGGAAUCGCUAGUAAUCGCGAA
rnacentral:rRNA from 1 species